AUGGAUGUGAUUGAUCUUGACAAUAAAACCAUUGAUGCUCAUAUAUUAAACUUGAUGGAAGUCAUUAAUGAACAUUUCCAUACUACACUUGGAGGUGAUGGAGAACCAUACUUUAUUGGUGAGUGGAUGUUUAGGUCAAGGAGAAAGGUUCAGAAAUUUGGUGACAAAAGAGGAGACAGACGAAUCCGAAGGGAAAUGAGAUAG